UCCGUAGGUGAACCUGCGGAAGGAUCAUUGUCGAAACCUGCUCAGCAGAACGACCCGCGAACAAGUUUAUAUUUCACUAUUCUCAAACGGGUUGUGUGCCUUCCUUUUGGAAGGUGCUCGUCCCGGGCGAACAACAAACCCCCGGCGCGGAAUGCGUCAAGGAAUACCAUAACGAGAUUGCUUGUUGCCCGCGCUCCGUUUGCGGAAUGCGUGGGCGACGUAGGCGUCUUACUUAACAAAAAAUGACUCUCGGCAACGGAUAUCUCGGCUCUCGCAUCGAUGAAGAACGCAGC
rnacentral:rRNA from 1 species